CGAAGAACCUUACCAGGUCUUGACAUCCUCUGACAACUCUAGAGAUAGAGCGUUCSCCUUCGGGGGACAGAGUGACAGGUGGUGCAUGGUUGUCGUCAGCUCGUGUCGWGAGAUGUUGGGUUAAGUCCCGCAACGAGYGCAACCCUUGAUCUUAGUUGCCAGCAUUUAGUUGGGCACUCUAAGGUGACUGCCGGUGACAAACCGGAGGAAGGUGGGGAUGACGUCAAAUCAUCAUGCCCCUUAUGACCUGGGCUACACACGUGCUACAAUGGAUGGUACAAAGGGCUGCAAGACCGCGAGGUCAAGCCAAUCCCAUAAAACCAUUCUCAGUUCGGAUUGUAGGCUGCAACUCGCCUACAUGAAGCUGGAAUCGCUAGUAAUCGCGGAUCAGCAUGCCGCGGUGAAUACGUUCCCGGGUCUUGUACACA
rnacentral:rRNA from 1 species